rnacentral:rRNA from 1 species
UCAGUAACACGUAGUCAACCUGCCCUGGAGACAUGGACAACCCCGGGAAACUGGGAUUAAUCCGUGAUAGGUCAUCUCAUCUGGAAGGAGAGAUGGCUUAAAGGGGUGCGCGGGCUUCUUCUGCGCAUUCGCUCUAGGAUGGGACUGCGUCCGAUCAGGCUGUUGGCGGGGUAAUGGCCCACCAAACCUGUAACCGGUACGGGCCUUGAGAGAGGUGGCCCGGAGAUGGACACUGAGAGAAGGGUCCAGGUCCUACGGGGCGCAGCAGGCGCGAAACCUUCGCAAUGCGCGAAAGCGUGACGAGGUUAAUCCGAGUGGUCCCCGCUGAGGGGAUCUUUUGUCAGCUGUAAAUAGGCAGGCGAAUAAGGGGAGGGCAAGCCUGGUGCCA